CGUAAAGAACUUGCCUCACAGCUAGGGACAACAUUUAGAAAUGAAUGCUAAUACCUGAUAUUAUGAUUUUAAGGCAUCUUAGAAUUAUGAAAGCUAUAAGCACUGUGAGAGAGCUUUGCGUCCCAUUAGCUAGUUGGAGAGGUAACAGCUCACCAAGGCGAUGAUGGGUAGCCGGCCUGAGAGGGUGAACGGCCACAAGGGAACUGAGACACGGCCCUU
rnacentral:rRNA from 1 species